GACUGAAUAUUUAGGUGAAAGUGUCUCAGAGCUCCUGGGUGAUGGGUUCAAAUUGCCCACGGAGGUCUCUGUACUGGUAGGGGACCCCGCCACGCUCCACUUUUACGCCAACGUCAACAUACAGACCGAAGACGGUCAGUUUGAUGUGCGCUGGGAGAAGGACGGUAAACUUGUUCUGCACCUUCAUCAUGGGUCGGUUACUCUGGGCUACGGGUUCAAAGACAGAGUCACCGUGUCUGAAAAGGAUGCCCGAAAGGGCGACCUGUCAUUGCUCUUGAACGAGACGCGUCUCUCAGAUGAAGGGAGCUACUGUUGUUUCUACAAUGAGAAUGUGACGGGAUAUCCAGGGACAAUCAA